AGCGAACGCUGGCGGCAGGCCUAACACAUGCAAGUCGAACGGUUCCUUCGGGUUUAGUGGCGGACGGGUGAGUAACCCGAGGGAACGUGCACUCUGGUUCGGAACAACUCAGGGCAACUUGCGCUAAUACCGGAUGUGUCCUAAGGGGGCAAGAUUUAUUUGCAUGUUAGCGGGCCGCGUCUGAUUAGCAAGUUGGUGAGGUAACGGCCCACCCAGGUGACGUUCAGUAGCUGGUGUGGGAGGAUGACCAGCCACACUGGGAAUGUGACACGGCCCAGACUCCUACGGGAGGCAGCAGGGGUGAAUCUUGCGCAAUGGGCGAAAGCCGAACGCAGCCAGGCCGCGUGAAUGAGUAAGGUCUUAGGAUUGUAAAAGUCUUUCAGCAGGUACGAUAAUGACGGUACCCGCAGAAGAAGCGCCGGCUAACUUCGUG
rnacentral:rRNA from 1 species